rnacentral:rRNA from 1 species
GACGUAGGGGACGAGCGUUGUCCGGAUUCAUUGGGCGUAAAGCGCGCGUAGGCGGUUUGGUAAGUCGGAUGUGAAAACCAGAGGCUCAACCUCUGGCCUGCAUCCGAUACUGCCCGACUAGAGGUAGGUAGGGGAGAUCGGAAUUCCUGGUGUAGCGGUGAAAUGCGCAGAUAUCAGGAGGAACACCGGUGGCGAAGGCGGGAUCUCUGGGCCGUAC